AUUAAGGAUAAAAGAGAAGUAUCACCAGUAAUUGAACUGGUGCCAAGCAUUCCAUAGGGAAAUAAUUUCUCCCAGGACAGGAUGCAGUUGGAAAGCAUCUACAAUCCACUCAUUCUAGAGUAAGUAUGUGUCAAGAUGGAGUUGUAAAGCAUCCAGUACAUUCGAAUCAUUCUAUAGUAGUACUCUUUUAAGUGAAGCUCUAAGUGGAAGUAGCAUAUGCAUUAGUGUGUUGAACAUCCUGAGGAAAUCAUCAAACUCACCAAGGUGAAAUUUCAGAUUUUAGUAGUUAAGGAUGUUAUUGAUGUAAACCAUAGAGACGUACUGUAAAAUAUCUCUAAUAAUUAUAUACCUUUAUAUGUGGUAGAUGGUUUAACAGUUUA